CGAACCAGUAUCUGUCGUCAUGACCACCACCUCGGAUGCUAACUACCGCCGCUGAAAAUAACUAGAGGCUGGAAUUGCUUGAUGAUAAGGUACGUUCUUGAAACAUUAAUUGCAGCGGAUCUAAUUUGUACACAAUACUCUGUGAUGUAUGGUUCCUAGUUUUCCGUCUAGAUUCAUAUGAAACGUUCUGAAUCUAUAGACUUGUGUAUCUUGCACGUGUCAAUAGAGCUUAAGACAUGUGCAGCAUAGCAGCUUUUGUAUUACAAGAAUACGUUUUUAUUCA